rnacentral:sRNA from 1 species
CAUAUUUUUGUAUAUGCGUGGGUCUGUGCUCACACGUGUGCCUAUGAAUGCAAGGCCCAGGGUUGCUAUGGUCCUCAAUCAUUGAGGACCGAGAGCUUAGUCUCUCAGUCAAGCCCAAAGCUCAUGGAUGUACUACUGGUCCUGCUAGACAGCUUGCUCUGGGCAUCCCUUGUCUCUGCUUUCCCAGGUUGGAAUUACAGGCAGGUUGCCACACCCAACUGGGAUUUAUAUGGGAGUGGGGUCAGGGGUGGGGGACGAAUGCUGAGCCAUCUCCCUAGUCCUCCCAAACAAAUGUUUGUCUCAUAAUUUGUUUAACGUUCCUGUCAUGACUUUGCUUUACUUCUACACCAGAAUGAAGCGUUUCUGUGUAAUGCCCCACCGCAAGCACAGUUUACUGGCGCACACCCUAAGUCCUCAGCGUUAGGGAGGCAGAGGCAGGAGGCUCUCUGUAAGUUCCAGGCCAGCCUGCUCUAUAGAGAUCCAGUCCACCCAGGGCUACACGGUGAGACAGAUCCUAUACCAAAGGGGUUAGGAGGGAAAGCCAGAAUGGAUUGUUAAGUAGGUCUCAAAAAUUUCGUCAGAAAUUACAAUCUCUGUUUAUCCCUAGUGUAACAGAAAAAAAAAUAGGGAUUUUUUUUUCUUUUGGCGGACUUCCCUUUCUGUCCACAAAUGCGCAAACAGGUUUAUUUUGACGCCAAACAGUUGGGGAUGGGAAAAGCAUAUUGCGAAAGAAAUCUUGCCAAACCAUCCCCAUUCACUUUCCCAGAAUCCUGCUCAGGUCCCAGCCAGAAUUGCUGACAUUGAGACAGACAAAAUGUGCAAGGCUCUGCCGCCCAGAACCCAGCAGGGAGAACGGGAGUGUUUGUUAAACUCCCCAAGCAACAGGGUGGUCGUCCCCGACUGGUGUGCCACAGUCACCCAUGCCGAUUUCUUACACAUCAUUGGGUAGCUGGAAGAGUCGCUGUGUGAAGAAAAUAAAACAAGAUGGCAGACACAGCUAACCAAUGUUCAGCCAUGUGGAGAUGAGAGGGGAAUGAAUACAGCAGAAGAGAUAACCCCGUGGGGGACAGCAGGACAGAGUGGGCUACUUCUAAGUCAUCAAGAGGAGUAAAGGGUGCCCUGUAUUUGUCUGGCCAAACUAUGCCAGACAAAUGUUCUAUCUGACGCUGGACAGGGGUCAGUACCCACACACAGCAUCACACACGCAGCAUCACACUGACCUAUCACAGCUUGUGUAACAGAGGCUUCUGUGACACAGCGCUCAGAAGGAGAAACCUUCCACUCCCUGCAGAAAUCUCUUUUGAAUACACAAGCCAAGACCCUUUUGUUGUAAGGGCCCAGUUUACAGAUCUGACCCUCCUGGUGAAAAUAUUUGAGCAGGCUUUAAAAAUUCUUUUGAAGGAAAUACAAAACACCAGUUCAAUUUGUAUUCCCCACACUAUGGGGUAAAGAGCACCCAAUUCUAUCAGCCACUUCCAAAACACGGAAGUGCUGAUAUCGCAGACCUGCAGGCAAGCGGACCCCAGUGGGCUCCACAGCAGGGCAGCAGAAGAAGCAGAGAGAAGCCAGAAUCUCAGCUCAGCUUGACAAAGUCAGGAAAAAAAGAAGUAACGACCAUUGACAGCCACCUCAUAAUGUCAUAGCUUAAAGGGCAGCAAUGUUUGGAGAUCAGGUGAGGCAAACAGGCAGUGUAGAAGGAACUCAGAUUUGGGGGAUUGAUCCCAGUUUCUCCAUGUGGAGUUACCGGCCCUGUGCAAGCCAUGAUCCAGUUGCUCUAUUCUGACAUUUUCCUUCAUAAAAAGGAGAGCACCUCUUCAUUACUGGACGGUUGGACAACAGACGACAGAACAGCACUGAGGAAGAAAACGCACAGCAGUCUCCGGCUGACACCCGUAAAUCUCUGCAUUGGUCGGUAAAUAAAUACUCCUUUUACAGUGACCCUCAAAACUAAGCAGGAAUUUGUAAUUUAAACUUCAAGCUGUGGUUGCUAUUCUUUGCACUCUUUCUUUGUGGGAAUGAGGCUGAGCUUUCUAACUGAGAGCUCCAGUUGUUAUCCACAACAAAAACAACCCAAAUCACAGGCCUGCGAACUAUUAAGCUCAGGAUGGGUAACCGGGAUGGAAGAUCACCUCAAAAGUGAGUUGCAGUUAUGUUGUUCAAGUCAAGAACAUUGGGAUGUAAAUAUUUUACAUUCUGGAGUCUCCGCUGGAGGAAGGUGGGGUCUGAGGGUGCUACACGAUGACAUUGUCCACCUUCUGGAACUGCAGGAGUCCUGUCCUUGAGCGAGCCGCACAAACUCUCACUCUUAGACUCUUUAGGCUCCAUUUAGUCAUCUGUCACAGGCCGUGGUGACUGACCCUGACUGGGGGGCUGGAGUGUGAUUAUGGGAGUUCAGGGACACAACCCAGAGCAGAGGUGUGCACAGCACAUGCCUCAGGAGGAAAAGUGGCAGAGGUGUGAACACCAUUGGAGGGUUAUUAAGUGCAAAGAGCUACAAGGAAUGAAAAGGAAAGAAAUGGAAAGAAAAGAAAAGAAAAGAAAAGAAAAGAAAAGAAAAGAAAAGAAAAGAGAAAAGAAAAGUUGGGGCCCUUCAUGGAGUUAUCAGUGGUUCUCUCAGAGUAAAGGGAUGGUAUCUCCUUCAAGAGGCUGGAACCCUGCAGAGGGAAGCUAUCAGACCCUGCCUGUCACCUGGCUUUCGCUUUGACCUCACCCCAACAGAUACCCCUGACAGAGCUACAAUAGUUGACUCCAGUUUCAUCCAGGACUUCCAAGAGGAGCCUCCUACUCUGCCAUGGAGUCAGCGUGGGGAGGCUCUCCCCCAAACAGAUGCUAACAAUUCCAAGCCUCCCCUGGUCCCUCCAGCUCCAUCACAGCCUGAAAGACUUUCUGCCCCCUUUUUUCAGUUCUCCGACACAGCUGAACCAAUUUCUGAGAUUGAAUAGGCCUCUCUCCAUGCCCGAAUCAAAUGCUUCCUGUUGUUCUGACUGGUGCAAUGUACCAUGCCUUUCACAGUGCGGUAAAAUGUUUAACUGUGAUUAAAAUAUAGGUAAUGUCAGAAGUACCCUUUCAGGCAAUUAAAUCGAAUGAUUUCACUGGA